rnacentral:rRNA from 1 species
CAUGGGGUGCAAACGUUGCUCGGAAUUAUUGGGCGUAAAGCGCGCGUAGGCGGUUACUUAAGUCGGAUGUGAAAGCCCUCGGCUUAACUGAGGAAGUGCACCCGAAACUGAGUAGCUAGAGUACGAAAGAGGGUCGCGGAAUUCCCGGUGUAGAGGUGAAAUUCGUAGAUAUCGGGAGGAACACCGGUGGCGAAGGCGGCGACCUGGGUCGAGACUGACGCUGAGGCGCGAAAGCGUGGGGAGCAAACAGGAUUAGAUACCCUGGUAGUCCACGCCGUAAACGAUGGGUGCUAGAUGUUUCUGGUAUUGACCCCGGAGGCGUCGUAGCUAACGCGUUAAGCACCCCGCCUGGGGAGUACGGCCGCAAGGCUA